UUGUUAGUAAAUGCAACGUUUAUUUUAUUGUAGUAUUUUAUUUGGGGUACGCUUGCCACUUGGCAUACUAUAAUUUAAAUGAAAUAAUCUUUUGAAAAAGAUGACGGCUGUAAAGCAAAAGCCAAAGUAUAUUAUCACAUUUCAGCAAAAAAAAUAUAUUAUCAAUACCUAAGUUGCAAGGAAGCGGAAACGACAAAUGGAAACGUUUCGAAACGUUUGAAAACAUAAUUUUUGAAUUUGUUUUGUUUUGAAAACGUUUCAGAAACAUUUAUCUAUCUAUCUAUUAUUAUAAAGAACUGUUGGCUCUCUCCUCAGGCUUCCACGUCAGCCGCCAACUAGAUAAGUCACUUCCACUCAUAUCGACACGUGGUAUCUGUAUACGAAACACAUAGUUUCAUUAAGACAGGAAUUGUGAUGGGCUUUCGUACUCCUUUUCCGCCAUUAUUUCCAUAGUGAAGAAUCUCCUCCUAGGGGUUUUACCACAUCGAUUGCUCUACUCUUAAUCAACCGAAACACCACAGUUACAGAUCCAUGGCUUAAACGCCUCUUUAAUCCAUCAACCAUGAUUGGGUCUUCAAUGCAAAUCUCUCUUCUCCAGGACGGUCUAUUUGUUAGUAUAAAUAAGUAUGCUUUUCUCCUCCAGAAUCCCUUUAUUUUCUUCUUCCCUUUUUGAUUUCCCAUGAUUUCAUCAACUUAUCUUCAAUUUCAUCGACAUCGUCGACACGUUCUGGAAGCAAUCAGAGCGGUUCGGCACCGAUAUCUUCAUGGAGACAGUCACCAAGGUCGAUUUCUCCUCGAGGCCGUUCAAGAUCUUCACGGAUUCGAGAACUGUGCUCGCCGACGCCAUCAUCAUCUCCACCGAAGCUGUCGCGAAACGGUUGAGCUUCGUCCGAUCUGGCAAAGGCGCUGGUGGUUUCUGGAACCGAGGGAUCUCAGCCUGUGCUGUAUGCGACGGCACCGCUCUGAUCUUUAGGAACAAGCCUCUGGUAGUUAUCGGCGGCGGAGACUCUGCGAUGCAUGAGGUUUAUAUAAUCCACAGGUGCGAUACGUUCAGAGCGUCGAAGAUCAUGCAGCAGAGGGCGUUGUCGAAACCUAAGAUUGAAUUGAUUUGGAACUCUGUGGUGGUGGCGUAUGGAGAUGAGAACGGGAAAGGUCGGCUUGGUGGUUUGAAGGUGAAGAACGUUGUUGUUAGUGGUGAUGUUUCGGAUUUAAAAAUAUAUGGGUUGUUCUUUGCGAUUGGUCAUGAGCCAGAAACGAAGUUCUUGGAUGGGCAGUUUGAGCUUGAUGAGGAUGGGUAUGUGGUGACCAAGCCUGGUACCACUAAGACGAGCGUUCUUCUCUACGUGGCUGUGGAUUUCUUGCUAUAUAAAAGGACCCUCCAGCUCCUAUGCCAAAAGAUACAAAUUUGGAUGUAAUUAGAGUCUUAGUUGAUGUAACCAUCCGAUUCUCAUAUAUUACAAAGCCUGAGAGUUAUUUGCAAGACAUGGUUUGAUGGUUAUGGUGAACUCAGUAUGACUGCAGCAUAGAACAAGCCAUUGAUGGGGUGUUUAACAAAAGUUCAGAACUCAUCAGUCCGUAUAACAACUUGCUUAGCUGUAGGUUUGCUUAGUUUCCUUCCUCUUCAAUCCAAGGGACAAUCAACUGGGUUGGUCUGUUUCAUUUGACUGAAACUUGCAGCAAUGAAAAUGGUUUCUCACACUCAAAUUACCAAAAGAAGAAGAAGGCUCUCUCUCAACUAUUACA